GUUUUUUCUAGCGGAAGGGUUAUGGGAAGGUGCUGUUUUAAUAUGGCCUUUCUUCUUCUGGGGCACUGCCAUGGUAGCGAUGCUGCUUGCUUUCAGGGAUUUCUCGCCGAAGGGUUGCAGAAGACUUCAGCUGGUUUGGGCAGUGUAUGCUUGCAGAAGACUUAGUCAAUUGAACGGCUGAGUUAUAUGUCGAAACGAGUGAAGUUAGUUUAUAAAGUGUUGUAUGCGUGUCACAUUGAUAAUUGGAUUACAGGGAAAUUUGAUUUGACUUCGGUUUAUGUUGAUUUGGAUUUUAGAUUGCAGUGAGAGCAUGAAUUGUUGCCAUUUUUUACUAUCUAGCUUGGAUAUAUGGCAGUUUAUUAUUGAUUCACAAACUUUGACAGUGGAUGUACUUGCAGCUUUGUUAUUUGGUGAGUCCAUUGGCAUUAUUGGAGCUGCUGGGCUUGUACGUAUAUGAACACGCGCAGGUGAAUCCUGCAAAUGAGAGAAUGCUUGGAGGUGGUGGUGCUGAUGGAGCUAUACACAGGGCUGCAGGUCUGGAUCUUCUUAGAGCAUGUCGGAAUGUUCCAGAAGUCAGGCCCGGAGUUCGCUGUCCCAUGGGGGAAGCAAGGAUCACACCGUGAGUUCUAAGUUUUACAUAUGGUAACCUUUUUGAUGUGCAUGUUUUAUACUUAUGUUUGGUUGGAAUAAGAAAAAUUAUUAAGAAACAUCUUGAG